UGGUUUAGGUUUUAAAUUAAACUCGUGUAAAAGCUUUGUUUGUUUGUAGAUAGUUUUUAGGCUGAUAUUGUGCAAAAUAUCAAGUUGUUUUGAGACUUUCGUGUUGAUUCUAUGAAAAACUCAAGUUUGACUUUAGCGAAAAUCUCAAGGAGAAACUCUUAGGGAUAAGAGUAGAUCAAAUGGUUUAGGUUGAACGAGGAUAAAUUUAUGGUCUGAUCUUUCACUCCAUUCUCUUUUUAUUUUCUGUUAUUUAUAUUAUCUUGCUGCUUAGUUCUU
rnacentral:lncRNA from 1 species